rnacentral:misc_RNA from 1 species
UUAUUAAACACCAACUUGUAUUCCUAUCCUCAAUAUGGUUUUCAAUUUUUAACAAAUGCAAACCUAGGGAAAAAAGAAGAGAUUCAGAACAUUGAAAGCUGAUGAUGAUCAUAAAAGCAUGGCAACCAAAAUCUAAAAUUUCUUUGAGAUAUACAAUAAAAAUUUCAUCAAUCGUUUAAAUAUGCCUUUCUCUUGUCUAUAUCUGUUCGGUUUCCUCUUUCCAGUCAACCCCUCAUGACUGAGAAAACAGAUUACCAUUUAGUUUAUCAUACUAAGGGUGGCGUCCAGCAGCUUUCCCGCAGAGUAGAGCAUUGUUAGGAAUGUCAUAUUCAUUAGCAAGGCUGUGGACUGGAGUCCAUACCCUGAGAUAUAGCUGCUGCCCAAGAUAAUUCCUCUCCCAAAUUGCAGACCUCAGGUUCCACAUACCCUGGUUGUCCAAGGAGAUCAGUAUAGCAGUCCACGAGUUUGGAUAUACCUGCAACAAAAUGAAUGCAUAUCAAGAAAUGAAAAAAUAAGAGUAAAAUACAUAUAAUCGAAUGAAAAUAGGUUCAUUAUCCUUGCACUGCUUCUAAUUACAUAGCUAAGCCGAAGGUCCAUUUCCUGGCUGCAAUUUGCAGAAUGCAUAAUGUUCAUGUAAACUGCCUAAGUUGUUACAUUAUAUGUCUAAUUUUUGGGCUAUGGAUUUUUCCACCUCCAUUCUCAAGUGGAUAAUAUCUUUGCUUUUACAAAACUAAAAUCCCUAGAACCAUGGAUUUACAGGAUUAGUUUACCUGAGCAGUGUGUCUGGUAAUUGCAUCAACUAGAUUGUAUGAGCGUCUCUUGGCUGGAGUCCACUGGCCAUUUCCAUAACCAACAACCCAAAAGUCAUAACCAUCAAGAUGCCAUGAUUGCAUGGCGUAUUCAUUGUUCUGGAAAACAACUUCAACAAAAUCAUGGAGUGAUGCUGGUAUAACAGAGGUAGCUACAUAUGCAGGACCACCAGAGGGAAGGCUUUGGAUGGAAUCCACACUGAAGACUCCCGGGAUAUUAAAGUAAUCAGCAAGCUUCAAGGGGGUAUCAGGAUUAACAUAGGAGACCCUGUUAACUGCAUAGCGCUUCUUUCCAUUUAUUAAAGGUGCUGAAUUGGCCAAGACAAUUGUCUUUUUAGGAAUUAUCUUUCCGUAGUGAAAUGAGCCCUGAGGAUUGGGCCUGGCUGCACUUGCAGUCAGAUUCCACCUGUAAGUUCUGGCUUGCCUCAUAGACCAAUCAAAUUGGCCAGUAGGAGGAGCAGGCAGGGGUCCAGAGGCUGGGGCCUUAGAGUUUGUGUAGCGUAACACUGCAGUUGCAGUGAGGACUUGCUUGGUAAAACGAGUGGAUGCAACAAUGUAGUAAUCCUUUGGAGGCUGAUUUAAAGUUACUAAGACAGCUGCAGAUUGUCCAACAUGCACAUCAAGAGAGUCAUAUAUAUUCUGGACGGUGUGAGAUCCUUCAACUUCAACCAACUUCAUCGUAUGACCCUGAAUCCUGAAGUUUAAGGAAGUUGACAAGCCCACAUUUGAGAUCCUGAACAUAUAGGUUUUACCUUGAUCACCGCUGAAUGUAGUAUGAGUCUGGCCAUUUAUGAGCACUCCAUCUGGAAGGGGAAGAGAUUUUCCUGAGUCUAAAGAUGCCUGUAAUGUCUUGUGAUUCGUCUUGUACCAAUCACCAAUAAGCAGAGUGAAAUCUCCAUCAGGGGUUGCAAAAGGGAUUGGAAUUCUAGGUCUCUCAUAUACAUUGAGUGCGCCAUACCCUCCAGCGGCUCUGUGAAGUAGAGUUGAAGGGAAGUAUGUGAAGGUACCAAUCUGAUCCUUGGUCUGGAACUUGUAAGUGUAGUUUGAGUUUGGAGGGAUGGGGCAAUUGGUUCCCAGCACUCCAUCUUGCCAAGAGUUCUUCCUUUGUUUAAUCCCAUUCCAAGUCAAGAGGAAAGGUUGGUCCAGCUUGUUGACGAGAUUGAGAACGAUAUUGUCAUUAGUGACCACAUCGAGUUGAGGACCAGGGAAUUGGCCAUUGAUAAGGAUGACCUGUUGGGCUUCACCAAGAGGAGAAAUAGUCCCAUAAGUCACAGUCCAAGUAUAAUACCUAUAUGGGUCAUCUGCAUUGACCAGAGAAACACCGAAAACAGCCAAAACUCCACAGAGUAAGCUCAGAAACAGUACUUUUCCCAUCGAAUCUGCUAAAAUUCCACAAAGUUGGUGGUUCGUUUCAGAAGCUUUUGGGUCACUGUCCAAACAAGGGAUGAUGGGUGAGGCUUAAAUAGAGGACAAGGCGCGAAAGGAGCUUCACUGGUUCAGUGUGAAAUGUGGGCUUGCAUAGCACAGAAUAACACUUAUCUUUCUUUAAACAAAUAUAUAGAAAAAAUCAUUCAAAAUGUGGGUUUGUUAAUUUGGCAUGUAUAUUUUAAGAUUGUAGAUUGUGAUGAUAUUCGGCGCAAUUCACGCGUUUCGGUGUUCAGCAAUCAUAUUUGCUUUGAACACAAGUUUUUUC